CAACCCUCAAGCUUUUGCUUGGAAUUGGGCUUUCGUCCGCCUAAGGACGUGCCUGAAACUCAUAGGCGGUUGUACUCAGCUCCCUUGCGUAGUUAUUUUAUCUCGCUCUGGAGGCUUCUGGGUAAUAACUCGCCUAAAAACCUUUUUAUUUUCUUAAG
rnacentral:misc_RNA from 1 species